rnacentral:rRNA from 1 species
GACGAACGCUGGCGGCGUGCUUAACACAUGCAAGUCGAGCGGUAAGGCCCUGCGGGGGACGCGAGCGGCGAACGGGAGCGUAACAGGAGCGUAAGCUGCCCCUCACUUCGGGAUAACUCCGGGAAACCGGAGCUAAUACCAAAUCUGACCACUUCAGGCUUCUGCUGGUGGUGGGAAGUUACGGCGGUGAUGGAUGGGCUCGCGGCCUAUCAGCUUGUUGGUGGGGUAGUGGCGUACCAAGGCUUGGACGGGUAGCCGGCCUGAGAGGGUGACCGGCCACACUGGGACUGAGACACGGCCCAGACUCCUACGGGAGGCAGCAGUGGGGAAUAUUGGACAAUGGGCGGAAGCCUGAUCCAGCAACGCCGCGUGAGGGAUGACGGCCUUCGGGUUGUAAACCGCUUUCAGCUGUGACGAAGCGUGAGUGACGGUACCGGCAGAAGAAGCACCGGCUAACUACGUG